rnacentral:misc_RNA from 1 species
AAACCCUCACCCCUGGGAUGUCAAAAUCUCGGGUGGUGGAUUUGGACCGUGCCGUAGCUGGCUCGUCCGUUGAAAUGCAUUAGCUUGCGCUUGUUAGAGUGCUCGGCAUGGUGUGAUAAUUAUCUGCGCCGUCGCCUUAGGCCUCUUCUGUCUGCGCUGCUUCCAACGGUCCCUUGCGGACAACAAAUUCAAAG